rnacentral:piRNA from 1 species
UGUGUUUAUAAUGGAGCCUCAUGUAGCC